CAAGUGGCCAGCAUCUCCCCUAUAAAUACCUGCUGAGAAGGCCUGGCCAGCCUUUAGAAAAUGGCUGCUCUGAAAGCAACAGGUUUCUUUUUGGUAAAAGCCCAGAAAUACAUAGAUAAAAAGAGAAGACUGAAAUGAAGAGUAAAGGAUCGGCGAUUAUCUCUAAAACAGCUGUUCUGGACUACGAUACUUACCUACGUUAACUCCACACUGGGACUUCUAAAUAUUCAGACACCUGCAUUCUGCCUACUGGGGCAUACCGAAGGCCUUACCUUAACCUCCGGAGACAGGCCUGCAACAACUCCUGCACUAUGCUAGAAAGGCCAUCUUACUGACUUGGAAAGUCACAGAGCCACCUACUCUGGGAUUCUGGACUAAGCUUGUGGACGACGCACUUCCACGACAGAAACUCAUUUACCUGGCCCGAGGAUGCCCAGGCAAAUUUUAGAAAAUCUGGAGCAGAUGGCUAGCAGAUCCAUGACUGAGUAACAGGACAGAUUUGCACACCCAGUUGACUUCCUAAAGACUUUAGUAACGGAGCCUUACAGUAUGAACCAAGGCUGUAUUGGUAAAAUUUGGGAUGCCCACCACCACCUUCUUACUUUCUAUCUUUCCCUUCUAACCUUUCCUACAUUUAUUUCAUAUUUUUCUUUUGUGUUAAUAUAAAAUCAAUAAACAAAAUCUUUCAAAAAAAAAAGUUAGACAGAAUAAUCUACCAUGGCCGAUUUCUUUUUCCAGGUGGAAGGUUGGUAAUUUUAGUCCUUGGGGUGCCCAACAAAUAGACAUUUUGAUUCUUGUAGCAAUGUGCUAAUAAGCAGCUUUACUGUUACAACUUGUUAUUAGUGAACGUUCCUUGUAACUCUUUGUUAAAUAAUAAAUACACCCGGUGGGCCCCUUCGGAUAUAAACAGCUAUAGUGAAAGGACCAGCUUGCUUGCUAUGUGUCUUAUUGCUAAUAGGACAAGAGGCACAUUAGUGAUACAGAGGCUGUAGGCUUGAAUAUAGUCUGAGAAAACGUCAGGGGCCUAAAAUUGUGCUAGAAAAAUGUUUCCAGAUCCAGAACAUUUAUGAUACAGAUCUAUAAUAUGAUUUGGAAAUGUGAGCGAUGGACAGGAGAAAAAAAAAAUCUGUGGCAUAUAAACUAUAUAAUCUAUAUGUUAAACCUGUUCAUUGUGGAUAGCGGAGAGCUCCCUUUCCCUGUAAGCUCUACAUUUUUAAAUGGUGAGUUGUAUAUUGGGCAUAUGAAUUAACUGCUGCCCGGUGGAGAGUUAUAUACAUAAGUUAAUUCUGAUUAAAACCAUUUUCAUUGGUGCCCAGCAGAGAGCUCACUCUGCCUACCGGCUCAAUGUUUAUAUAGUAAUGGCAGAACUUCUCCGUCUCUGCUAGAGGGGUCAGGAUAUGUAACCAUGCAGCACAAACUAUACUACUUAAACUUCAUUUUGUAUUGAUUUUUUGUGGGGGGCGUAGUAACCUAAGACUUGCAAAUUUGGGUCUCCUCUAGGGUUGCCACCUGUCUGGUUUUGAUCCAGACAGCCCUGUGUUUGUAAGGGAUGUCGGGGUCAAAACUACCUGCCCGGUUUUUCAAAUUAGAAAAGACGUGCAGGACUUGCUGAGAUUGCCAUGGUGAUUACCCAAUUGCCAAUUGCCAUGUCAUAGACCCACCCCCAUGAUGUCACUGACCCACCACUUCCUUUCCCUCUGUGACGUCACCACCCGAGAAAGAAGCCGGCAGAGGUGGCAACCCUAGUCUCAAACCGGGUUAGAAAACACUGGAUUAGAGGAUCUGUGACUCCUGCUCUGCAGUCCCUUCAGUACAGAUUUGAUUGGAAAGAAGUAGGUAGGAAGGAACCAGACCCUGACAAAUACAUUCCUGGAAAAUAUUCUUCCAUGCAAGAGUGUUUAUUAUAUUUUAAU